GCGAGGAAGAAGAGGAUCCCCGACACCCGAGUGCACUGCUGCCUGUACUUCAUCCCUCCGACUGGACACUCGCUCCGCCCCCUGGAUCUGGAGUUCAUGAAGCACCUCACCCACGUUGUGAACAUCAUCCCUGUGAUCAGCAAGUCAGACACGCUGACUGUGGAGGAGAAACAGGACUUCAAACAGAGGGUCAGGAAGGAGAUGGA